CCUACGGGUGGCAGCAGUGAGGAAUAUUGGUCAAUGGGCGCGAGCCUGAACCAGCCAAGUAGCGUGAAGGAUGACUGCCCUACGGGUUGUAAACUUCUUUUGCAAAGGAAUAAAGUGAGGAACGUGUGCCUUUUUGUAUGUACUUUAUGAAUAAGGAUCGGCUAACUCCGUGCCAGCAGCCGCGGUAAGACGGAGGGUCCGAGCGUUAUCCGGAUUUAUUGGGUUUAAAGGGAGCGUAGAUGGGUUGUUAAGUCAGGUGUGAAAGUUUGCGGCUCAACCGUAAAAUUGCAAUUGAUACUGGCAGCCUUGAGUGCAGUAGAGGUAGGCGGAAUUCGUGGUGUAGCGGUGAAAUGCUUAGAUAUCACGAAGAACUCCGAUUGCGAAGGCAGCUUACUAAACUGCCACUGACGUUGAGGCUCGAAAGUGUGGGUAUCAAACAGGAUUAGAUACCCCGGUAGUC
rnacentral:rRNA from 1 species